ACGUCAGGGAAAGGAUUCUGCUGUCGGUCCCACUCCAAAGUUCACAAAAUGGGUGGUGGGCACAGAAUCCAGACCCUGCUUGUG
rnacentral:pre_miRNA from 1 species